rnacentral:rRNA from 1 species
UACGGAGGGUGCGAGCGUUAAUCGGAAUUACUGGGCGUAAAGCGCACGUAGGCGGUUGGGUAAGUCGGAUGUGAAAGCCCUGGGCUUAACCUGGGAACUGCAUUCGAUACUGCCCGGCUAGAGUAUGGGAGAGGGAAGCGGAAUUUCCGGUGUAGCGGUGAAAUGCGUAGAUAUCGGAAGGAACACCAAUGGCGAAGGCAACUUCCUGGCCCAAUACUGACGCUCAGGUGCGAAAGCGUGGGGAUCAAACAGG